UACGUAGGGGGCAAGCGUUGUCCGGAUUUAUUGGGCGUAAAGAGCGUGUAGGCGGCCAGGUAGGUCUGCUGUGAAAACUCGAGGCUUAACCUCGAGAUGUCGGCGGAAACCAUCUGGCUAGAGUCCGGAAGAGGAGAAUGGAAUUCCCGGUGUAGCGGUGAAAUGCGCAGAUAUCAGGAAGAACACCAAUGGCGAAGGCAGACUCUCUGGGACGGUACUGACGCUGAGACGCGAAAGCGUGGGG
rnacentral:rRNA from 1 species